UACGUAGGGCGCAAGCGUUUAUCCGGAAUUAUUGGGCGUAAAAGAGCUCGUAGGCGGUUUUGUCGCGUCUGCCGUGAAAGUCCGGGGCUCAACUCCGGGAUCUGCGGUGGGUACGGGGCAGACUAGAGUGAUGUAGGGGAGACUGGAAUUCCUGGUGUAGCGGUGAAAAUGCGCAGAUAUCAGGAGGAACACCGAUGGCGAAGGCAGGUCUCUGGGCAUUAACUGACGCUGAGGAGCGAAAGCUGGGGAGCGAACAGG
rnacentral:rRNA from 1 species